AUCCCCUGCCGUCCUCGAUCCACACAGCCCAUACCUCGUCUCUCCUCCUCUCCUGUUCUCGACCACCGCCGCGCCCCUUCCCCUCCUUCCCCGCGCCCCUUCCCCUCCCUUCUCCUCUACCCAGCGUUGCAUCUUCUCCUCUUCUUCGUCCGGAUCCUGCCGGAUCCUCCCGCAUGCCGGCUUCUCCUCGAAGAGAAGGGUCACAUGGUUCAGCCCCGGCGAAAUUGGGCUUGGCCAUGCUGCUGCUGGAGGGAAAGCGGUCCGCCGGCGUUUCUCACCAUGCCUCAUGAGUAUGACCGCCUCCACCUCUGCCGGCCGCUUGAGUGUUCAAGGCAAGGUGGACGUGGUGCCUGUGGAAGAGGAGAACUCGUGAACAACUUCCAGUUCAUGGAAAAAACGCUUGCACAUAUGAGUUCUUUCUUCCUCUUCCUCAUUUUUCUAUUUUGGCCUACAUUUUUUUCCUGAGUUUUUAGGGGCAUAUUUUGGGCUUUAGAUUGAUUUGAUAGUGUGCGUGCUGUUGCUACUAGGCGACCCUUGGACCAGUUCGAUGUCUGUGCCCAAUAUUAAUAUUCUCAGUUAGCUUCGUUGGUUAAUUCGUUCUGGAUCUCCGGUACAAAUUUGUUGAUGGUGGAAUGGACGGUAGUUUAUUAUGGUGCGCCUAUUUGUGCCAUUGGAAUUAAUUAUUGUGUGUUCAAGCUCUUGUUUGUUCUGCUUUAAUACGAUGCUAACAUGAAUUAUUCUUUUAAUUUUUGUUCAGUGACGUUCUUCGAUAAAAGAUUUGGUUCAGCUUAGUAUUAUUUCUGUUACCAACUUCUUUUCAUGAAAGCCAUUCAUUUUGGCAAGGCCCCAUCACACCUGGAAAUUAUAUUGGUUGCGUGGGAGAAAUUGAAGUUACAGGCCAUAAUUCGCAUGGCUAAGAUGCCCUACAACAGUCUAGAGCUCGGUCGGAUGGAGCAGUUGGGGAGGAGUGGCGGAUGCGCGGGGCAUCGCCGGCCAGAGAGGAUGGGAGGAGCAUAUGCCAGCGAGGGAGGCGGCUCGGCUUGGACCAGCCAUGGUGCCGGCGCUGCUAACUCCCACUAACUCCCACGGGCCUCUUAUUCCCCAUCUCUUCUGGAAGUGAUGAAUCAAGCAAGGAGGAAGGGCGUAGUGUUGGAUAUUUGACCAGGCGAUAUAUAUGGAUGCCUAUGUUCUGAAUAAACAAUAUUUACUUGAACCUAUAUGGUCUGAAAAAAGUUUACACUGCCAAUAUUUUUCCGUGACCUGCCAAGGUAUGAACUAAAACAUCAAUAUCACUCGAACCUAAUCAUGUCAGGGUCUAAAUUAUUGCCUAUCUGCCAAUAUAAUAGCAUGCUAGAUGUUCUUAGAUUCAAUCCAAAAAAGCUUUGUUUGUGUUCCUGUCAAUUUUAGACGUGCAGGUAGCUUGAUAACUUGCUUUUCUUUUUGUUCAGUACAUAUAUACAGUUACACCAUAAGCUCAUCAAUUUGCUCUGAUUAAAUUAGCAAAGCUGAAGCAUGUAAGGAUUCACGUGAGUGAAAGUUCACUUUCUUUCAGGAGAAAAGAACUUUUAGUUAAUACCAGUCGAAUUUGGUAAGGCCAAUAAUUAUAUCCUUUCAUAAUCAUCAGGUUUGCUACACUUAGUCAUAAUAAAGUAUUCUAUUUUUUCUUUUUCACAGUGGCAUUGCAAUGGAUAUUGUUCUUUUACUAGCAGUGUGCUGAGUGUGCACGCAAAGUACAGGUCAUUUUGAGUGGCAAGGGUUGAGAAUUACCAUAAUGUUAAUAUGUUGAAGAACCUUAUAAAAUAUAUAAUUAUAUAUUUGGCACUUUUUAUACUGAUUCAAGUGAAAAAUGUCAUAAUUCUAACAGAUAUUUGCAUCUGCACCAAGUGCGGCAUGCAGUCAUCCUCAUCCUGUCCUGAACGUACCAUGUACUCUGUAUUGAGAAAAGACUAGGGAGUUAAGAAUACCAUGUGGCACCGGAGCAGCCUAAGGGCCAUUAGUUGGGAAUAAGAUGCACUGGAUAUCUGAGUUUAAGUGGUAGCUUCGCACUUUGCAGUAUGGUGAUGUCACUCUUGGUGUGAUGGUCACUAAUCGAGCGUGUCAACUACUCAUAAAAUAGCUCUAUCCAGCAAAUUUUCUUUAGAUUUUGCUUUAUUCUAUUGAUCAGAUUUGCCAAGUCAUUUUUCCUUCGAGGUAUUUAGCAUUGCCAAAUUUAUAUAUUUACCUAAAUUUAAUCGUGACCCGAUUUGCUCUGGUCAAUACAUGCAUGAUGCCUUUUCUUUUCUAUAAAGUGGAUGCAGGGUUAUUUUACCUUUCAGACUCUGAGUUAGAUUAGCCGCACCUGUGUAAACGUUUGAUAGAUGAGCUGUGUCAGGUUGUAGGUACUGCUAAGCACAAAGCUAUAAUUGGAUAUAAUAUUGGAUUUACAAUUAUUUUAUGCAAAAUAUUUCUGGUUAGUUGUAAAAUUCAUAAUAUUCCAGUAUAUUUCAAAUUUUGUUUCAUAGAGAAGCUCCAUCAUUGGAACCAGUAUAGGUCUGCUGAUAAAACCCUUUUGUAUGAUCAUGGUUUUUAGGAAUUGAUAUUCCAAUCAAUCUACUGAUGCGGUAUUUGUGGGAGAUGAAGAGUAGCGACGGGUUCAAUCUAGGGGCCGUCUUUCUCGAGCUACAUUCAUGCUUCACAGCAGUUCACCUUCCCACAAUUGCUCAGGUUGCACAUCUGCUGGCCGAUGUGAUUAUGGAUGCCCUGUAUCUUGCAGUUCUUUCUAACCGAGUAUUAUUGCAGAUUCCAAAAUAGGACUAACUUCUGCUUAUUUUCUAAUCUAUUCAUUGUACCUCAAGGUGAACCAAUCUAUCCCACGAGAGCAUAUUUUUCUUAAUUCUACAAUAGAGGAUGCCGUGGUUUUCGUGUUUUGCUUUAAUGUGGGCUGGUUAGGAACUACAGUAAAUGUUUUUCCUGAAAGCUAAUGCUGUUGCACAAUUUCUUUUUGACCGUUUCAUUUUUAUUGUGAGAAAAAUGAUGCUUUUCAUAAAUUGUGCUAAUGUGAACAUGAGUUGUGCGUGUUGAUCUAAAUGAAUUGGAAAAAUGGUCUGGUUGCGGAACAUUUGGUACACAAUUUUUUUAUUCAAGAUGGAACAAGUUUGUUAUCGAUAUUCCUGUAAAUGGUUUGUAUAGUUUGUUUUGUUAUUAAGCAAACAUAUGGUUGUAACACUACUUUUGUUAUCUCACUUCGAGGAAUUCUUUUUGCUGAGAACACUACUUUUCUCCAAUACCCCAAUGAUUUCAUUCCCCAGUACCCUGAGGCCUUGGAUCAGGUUUUCUUCCGAAAAGGUACUUAGACUAUGAUUCAUUGAAGAUUUUUGACAAACGGAGACGUUCUCUAUAUAGUGAUUUUGUUUGCAACAUAUUGAACAUUAAUCAAGGACAUGCACCUAAAUUAGGUGAAGUUGUAUACAUGGCAGCAUAUACAGAGAAAGUGACUUCAUAUAAUCCUAUAAAUAUUUUGACUUCCAUUUUGUUUCCGACACUGCUAUAUUUUCUUGUUUAGAUGGUUAUUUGAUAUGGUUGGUUUGUGUUAUAGCCUUGUAGGAUCUGAUGUGAGGUUACAUCCUUUCAUUGUAAGAGACAUUCUUCGUGUGUCGUUUUAUUAAUUUGAAUAAAUAUUGUGUGAAAUCUGGUGUUUGUCUGCCCUUCAUGUUUUCCCUUUGUAGCUUUGCUCAAUUCAAACCCUGUUGAGGGAUUGUUCUAGGGUUCGGCUUUCGCUGGCAUGUUGUUAUUACAGAGUUAGCCCGAUCUCUUUAAAUCGUCAUAUGUACUCCAAACUCUUAUAGAUUAUGCAACUAGCUAAUGGUUGGGACUUUAUUACUCAGCUUUAUUUAUAGGUAGCACAACCUCAUGUUAGUUGCCAUUUUAUUGCUACAGAUAUUGCUACAGAUUGCUACAGGGUUGAAUGUCUGAUCGACGAUCCUUGUUGCUGAUUUAAGUACUGAUUUCAUCAUCAUAUGACUACAAUAAAGAAGUUGUGUGUAUAAAUAUUACUAACUGCUGAUACUUUGCAUCAGUGAUUUCAAUUCCGUUGGCCCUCCUUAA